rnacentral:rRNA from 1 species
UACGGAGGGUGCAAGCGUUAUCCGGAAUCACUGGGUUUAAAGGGUGCGUAGGCGGCUUUGUAAGUCAGAGGUGAAAGCCCAUCGCUUAACGAUGGAAUUGCCUUUGAAACUAUAGAGCUUGAAUUAGGUUGAGGUUAGCGGAAUGAGUCAUGUAGCGGUGAAAUGCAUAGAUAUGACUUAGAACACCAAUUGCGAAGGCAGCUAGCUGGGCCUUAAUUGACGCUGAGGCACGAAAGCGUGGGGAGCGAACAGG